rnacentral:tRNA from 1 species
CAAAAUGUAGUUAAACUAAAACAUUUCACUUACACCGAAAAAAUAUCUGUUACACCCAGAUCAUUUUGA